rnacentral:tRNA from 1 species
GGCCUCGUAGCUCAGCUGGUAGAGUGUGCGCUGUAAAAAAACGUGCGCGGCAUCCAUUCGUGGGUUCGAAUCCCGCCGAGACUA